rnacentral:rRNA from 1 species
GACAGAGGAGGCUAGCGUUGUUCGGAAUCACUGGGCUUAAAGCGCGUGUAGGCGGCUCGUCAAGUGCCUUGUGAAAUCCCCCGGCUCAACCGGGGAACUGCUGGGCAUACUGUCGGGCUUGAGGCAGGUAGGGGUCACUGGAACUCUAGGUGGAGCGGUGAAAUGCGUAGAUAUCUAGAGGAACGCCCGAGGCGAAAGCGGGUGACUGGGCCUGUCCUGACGCUGAGACGCGAAAGCGUGGGGAGCAAACGGG